rnacentral:rRNA from 1 species
CAACAAUGGUGGCGACCGGCGCACGGGUGAGUAACACGUAUCCAACCUGCCUCAUACUCGGGGAUAGCCUUUCGAAAGAAAGAUUAAUAUCCGAUAGCAUAUAUUUCCCGCAUGGGUUUUAUAUUAAAGAAAUUCGGUAUGAGAUGGGGAUGCGUUCCAUUAGUUUGUUGGGGGGUAACGGCCCACCAAGACUACGAUGGAUAGGGGUUCUGAGAGGAAGGUCCCCCACAUUGGAACUGAGACACGGUCCAA